GCUCAACCGGGGAGGGUCAUUGGAAACUGGGGAACUUGAGUGCAGAAGAGGAGAGUGGAAUUCCACGUGUAGCGGUGAAAUGCGUAGAGAUGUGGAGGAACACCAGUGGCGAAGGCGACUCUCUGGUCUGUAACUGACGCUGAGGCGCGAAAGCGUGGGGAGCGAACAGGAUUAGAUACCUUGGUAGUCCACGCCGUAAACGAUGAGUGCUAAGUGUUAGAGGGUUUCCGCCCUUUAGUGCUGCAGCAAACGCAUUAAGCACUCCGCCUGGGGAGUACGGUCGCAAGACUGAAACUCAAAGGAAUUGACGGGGGCCCGCACAAGCGGUGGAGCAUGUGGUUUAAUUCGAAGCAACGCGAAGAACCUUACCAGGUCUUGACAUCCUCUGACAACCCUAGAGAUAGGGCUUCCCCUUCGGGGGCAGAGUGACAGGUGGUGCAUGGUUGUCGUCAGCUCGUGUCGUGAGAUGUUGGGUUAAGUCCCGCAACGAGCGCAACCCUUGAUCUUAGUUGCCAGCAUUCAGUUGGGCACUCUAAGGUGACUGCCGGUGACAAACCGGAGGAAGGUGGGGAUGACGUCAAAUCAUCAUGCCCCUUAUGACCUGGGCUACACACGUGCUACAAUGGGCAGAACAAAG
rnacentral:rRNA from 1 species